UACGUAGGGGGCAAGCGUUGUCCGGAAUCAUUGGGCGUAAAGAGCGUGUAGGCGGUUCGGUAAGUCGGCUGUGAAAGCCCAGGGCUCAACCCUGGGAUGCCGGUCGAUACUGCCGGACUAGAGUUCGGAAGAGGCGAGUGGAAUUCCCGGUGUAGCGGUGAAAUGCGCAGAUAUCGGGAGGAACACCUAUGGCGAAGGCAGCUCGCUGGGACGUUACUGACGCUGGAGACGCGAAAGCGUGGGGAGCAAACAGG
rnacentral:rRNA from 1 species